rnacentral:rRNA from 1 species
AAUGCGAGCUUGCUCGCAUGGCAAACGGGAGAGUAACACGUUGGUAAUCUACCUCUAUCUUAGGCAUAACCCGGAGAAAUCUGGAGUAAUACCUGAUAGUCAUGGGGGGACAUAAGUCAUUCCCAUGUAAAGAUCCGUCGGAUAGAGAGGAGCCUACGGCACAUCAGCUUGUUGGUAGGGUAAUGGCCUACCAAGGCUACGACGUGUAACGGGUGUGAGAGCAUGACCCGUCCCACUGGAACUGAGAUACUGUCCAGACUCCUACGGGAGGCUGCAGUCAAGAAUCUUCCUCAAUGGACGAAAGUCUGAAGGAGCAAUGCCGCGUGAUCGAUGAAGCUUUUCGGAGUGUAAAGAUCUUUUAUCAGGGACGAAUU